AUUUAGCUGCCUUUACU
rnacentral:misc_RNA from 1 species